rnacentral:tRNA from 1 species
UGGCUCAGAGGUUAAAGCAUCUGCCUCCAAUGCAGGAGACCUGGGUUCAAUCCCUG